GGCCGUGUGCCCGAGUGGUCAAGGGGACCGUCUGCAAAACGGUUUUCCACGGGUUCGAUUCCCGUCAUGGCCU
rnacentral:tRNA from 1 species